GAAGAAAUACAGAUGGCAAGUAAGCAUUUGAAAAAAUGCUCCACAUCAUGGCAUUGGGGCAAUGCAAAUUAAAAAAACGAGACACCACUACAUGCCUAUCAGAAUGAUUAGAAUCCUGAACAUUGACAACACCAAAUGCUGGGGAAGAAGUGGAGGAACAGGAACCCUUGUUCAUUGCUGGUGGGAAGGCAUGAUGGCACAGCCACUUUGGGUGGCAGUCUGGAGGAUUCCUACAAAAUUAAACAUACUCUUAUGUUUAGUUUUUGGGUAUUUACCCAAAAGAGUUAUAAAAACUGCACAUGGAUGUUCAUGGCAGCUUUAUUCAUAAUUGCCAGACCUUGGAAGAAACCAAGAUGUCCUUCAGCAGAAGGGAUAAAUAAACUGUGGUGCAUCCAGACAACAGAAUGUUAUUCAGAGCUAAAAACAAAUAAGCUAUCAAGCCAUGAAAAGACAGAGGAAAUUUAAAUGUGUACUACUCAGUGAGAGAAGCCAGUCUGAACAGAGUACAUGUAGUAUAAUUGCAACGAUAUGCCAGUCUGGGAAAGGCAAAGCUAUGGAGACACUAAAAAGAUCACUGGCUGCUGAGGGUGAAGGGGAAGGAAGGGAUGAACGGGCAGAGCACAGAGGAUUUUUGGGGCAGUGAAACUACUCUACAUGAUACUGUAACGGUGGACACAUGUCAUUCUAUAUUUGGCCAAAUCCACAGAAGGUCCAACAUCAAGAGUGAACCCUAACGUGGACUGUGGGAUCUGGGUGAGAAUGACAUGUCGACGUAAGUUCAUUGAUGGUAACUAAUGCAGCACUCCGGUGGGGGAUGUUGAUCCUGGGGGAGGCUGUGCAUGUGUGGGGAUGGGGGUGAUGGGAAAUCUCUGUACCUCAUGCUGGUGAAGAAGUGGAGCAACAGGAACUCCCAGGAACUCAACAGGAAUUUUGAUGUGAACCUAAAACUGCUCUAAAAAAUAAAGUCUAUCAAACAAACAAAAGACAACAAAACUCCAAGUGGAUCACAGAUCUAGAUGUACAAAAUGAAGCCAUACAGAUAUUGCAAAUAAACACGAGAAUUGGGAUGGGCUUUCUAACUAUGAUUCAAAAUACAGAUGUAACAUGUGGAAAGAUCGAUAAAUUUAAAAUUUCAAUAUUAAUAUCAAUAAAUUGAUAAAUUAAAAUUUUAGGUGCCGUCAACAUGGUAAAAAUGCCAUCAGCAAAGUCAAAAGACAAGUAACAAACUUGGAGAAGUUUUUGCAAUCUAUUUCAUGGGAAAAGGGCUAAUCAUCCCACUAAAUAACUCUUAAAAUUCAAGAAAGAAGGACCAAAGACCUGAUAGAAAAAUAAACAAGAAUAGAUGAGCAGACAGUACUGAGAAAAGAAGUUUCUGGACCUAAAGUCCCUUGAUUGAAAGAGAGGUCGUGUCCCCAGGAGGAAGAGCUCUGCAACGUGACACAGCUGUAUGAAUCCAGAAUUGAGCAGUGAAUAGGAAUCAAGGUCAUCAGCUGAGAGUGGUCACCAGUUUGGAGGAGGUUUUGGAGGUUUGUGGGCAGAAGAGAAAGCAUGACUGAGUCAUUUAAGAGCACGGGAGAGGGUCUGCACCAGGCCUGCUGGGCAGCACAAGGACCCACUGAGGCCCGUGGUCGCGGAUCGAAAGUCAUGGAUUGGGUAUUGCCAAGUGAGCACAGUGAAGCAAGCAUGGGCAAGAGGUCGAGGCUCAGCGGCUGACCGUGAAGAAGCACAGAACUGAUGAUCGCUCCUAUUAUUCCUGGGGUAAGGAGAUAAACAGGCAAUGCCCCUUUGGAUUCUCAGUGGGGGACCAAUCCCCGGGUAUUUCCAGUUCCACACAUGAAGGCCAGCUUGUCCCCAACCUUGAGACCUCAUCUUACCGGAUGAGCGGGAGCCUUCUGCAACCUGUUUCUGACUUUCUCUUCCCCUGAGGCAGGUGUCCAGGGCAGCCAAUUAAACCUUUUCCAC